rnacentral:rRNA from 1 species
AUUGAACGCUGGCGGCAGGCCUAACACAUGCAAGUCGAGCGGAUGAUGGGAGCUUGCUCCUGGAUUCAGCGGCGGACGGGUGAGUAAUGACUAGGAAUCUGCCUGGUAGUGGGGGACAACGUUUCGAAAGGAACGCUAAUACCGCAUACGUCCUACGGGAGAAAGCAGGGGACCUUCGCGCCUUGCGCUAUCAGAUGAGCCUAGGUCGGAUUAGCUUGUUGGUGAGGGAAUGGCUCACCAAGGCCACGAUCCGUAACUGGUCUGAGAGGAUGAUCAGUCACACUGGAACUGAGACACGGUCCAGACUCCUACGGGAGGCAACAGUGGGGAAUAUUGGACAAUGGGCGAAAGCCUGAUCCAGCCAUGCCGCGUGUGUGAAGAAGGUCUUCGGAUUGUAAAGCACUUUAAGUUGGGAGGAAGGGUUGUAGAUUAAUACUCUGCAAUUUUGACGUUACCGACAGAAUAAGCACCGGCUAACUCUGUGCCAGCAGCCGCGGUAACAC